UAUAAGACCCGAAUCUCGAAGCAUGGUCUUCCCCGACUAUAAGAUUCCUCUUUACGCCCUAAUCGCCAUCCGCCCGAAAGCCCCAAAACCUCGACGCCGAUUUGCGAAGCCAAGCCGCCUUUCCCCACGCCCAGGAAGUAUGAGUAAGCGAUACAGUCGAACCAUCUACGUGGGCAAUCUCCCCGGUGACAUUCGUGAAAGGGAGGUGGAAGAUCUGUUCUACAAGUAUGGACCCAUUAUUGAUAUUGAUUUGAAGAUUCCUCCAAGGCCUCCAGGUUAUGCUUUCAUCGAGUUUGAAGAUCCUCGUGAUGCUGAAGAUGCUAUUCGUGGACGGGAUGGAUAUAAUUUUGAUGGUCACAGAUUACGAGUGGAACUUGCUCAUGGUGGUAGAGGCCAAUCUUCAUCAUUUGAUCGACAUAGUAGUCAUAGUAGUGGGGGGCGCCGUGGUGGUGUUUCCAGGCGCACAGAAUAUCGCGUAAUGGUCACUGGUUUGCCUUCGUCAGCAUCGUGGCAAGACUUAAAGGAUCAUAUGCGCCGAGCUGGUGAUGUCUGCUUUUCUGAAGUUUUUCGUGAUGGUGGUGGUACGAUUGGAAUUGUCGAUUAUACAAAUUAUGAUGAUAUGAAAUAUGCGAUUAGGAAGCUAGAUGACUCCGAGUUCCGGAAUGCAUUUUCGCGGGCAUAUAUAAGAGUGAAGGAGUACGACUCCAAGAGAAGCUUGUCUAGGAGCCGUAGUCGUAGCCGUUCAAACUCAAGAAGCCCAAGUCCGGCUCGCAGCAGGAGUCGGAGCCGAAGCAAGUCUCCUAAGGAAAAGUCAUCACGCCGUUCCUUGUCAAGGUCUCGAUCAAGAUCUGCAUCUUCUCGUUCUCGAUCAGCAUCCAAAGGACGCUCUUUGUCAAGAUUUGGGCAUAAGCGGGGAUCUCUGGAUUGCAUAUUAGGAUCUGGAUUGGAUUUGGUACAAAUGCUUGCAACUCUUUUGGUGUUGUGAGGUAUGCUGUUUCAUAGACAAGUGGUUUAUGAAACCUGCAGCACAUCUUGAUGAUUACCACUAAUGGCCUUUUCUGAUAAUGGGCCUCUUUGGGGGCAGAAAGGAUUGGUUGCGCAUUAACGAGCUGGAUUAUUCUAUAAGCCAAGUGGAAUUGGGCCUCACUGGACAAGUGCUAGGAACAAGUUUUGCCAUUCUCCAACGUUCUCCCAGUACUAUAAGUUGCACUCAGGAUUCUGGAUGUAGCUUUAUUGAUCACGAUCAAGAUCCAGAUCUCCUGUAACUUCUCCCGCUCGUGAUGAGCCUGUGAACCAAAGUCCUACCAAGCGGAGUCCUAGCAAAAGCAGGAGCAGGAGCUUAUCUCGAUCUCGAUCGCCUGUGGCGAAAUCUGAUUAGACCAAUCUGCCUGAUGCGGAAGCUGUCCAAGAUGGAACGAAGUCGUUUGUUGUAUUCUUGUUUGGCCAUCUAUGAUCACUAAGACUGUUAUUGAUAAACCCAGACCCUUUAUUUUUCUGCUGAACUUUGUUGAAGAUGUUUAUGAUCAGUGUUGACAAAUAUUAAGACCCAACAGGCAAGAACUGUGUUUGUUUAUAAUGUAGAACAAUUUUUCAGUACUCAAACCAUUCAAUUUGUUGUGA